GAGUAAUGUCUGGGAAACUGCCUGAUGGAGGGGGAUAACUACUGGAAACGGUAGCUAAUACCGCAUAACGUCGCAAGACCAAAGAGGGGGACCUUCGGGCCUCUUGCCAUCACAUGUGCCCAGAUGGGAUUAGCUAGUAGGUGGGGUAAUGGCUCACCUAUGCGACAAUCCCUAGCUGGUCUGAGAGGAUGACCAGCCACACUGGAACUGAGACACGGUCCAGACUCCUACGGGAGGCAGCAGUGGGGAAUAUUGCACAAUGGGCGCAAGCCUGAUGCACCCAUGCCGCGUGUAUGAAGAAGGCCUUCGGGUUGUAAAGUACUUUCAGCGAGGAGGAAGGCAUUGUGGUUAAUAACCACAGUGAUUGACGUUACUCGCACAAGAAACACCGGCUAACUCCGUGCCAGCAGCCGCGGUAAUACAGAGGGUGCGAGCGUUAAUCUGAAUUACUGGGCGUAUAGCGCACGCACGCGGUCUGUC
rnacentral:rRNA from 1 species